rnacentral:lncRNA from 1 species
GUUAGGCAAGGCAACUGCGAGCGGUUGGAGCUCCGAUGGUGAUUAGCGGCGGUGGGCGGCGAGUGUGGUGGUCUGCGCAGAAUCGGCGUCCCGGCCUGGUAAGUGCGCGUGUGGCCUCGGCGUCUCUGCGGGUUCGUCAGUGCCGGGUGACGCGGCGGGUGGGGGUUGACACGGUGCUGCAUCGACCGCCAUUGAUUCUUGAUUUCCGACGGCCGCGGCGGCGCUGCUCCAGUACGCGCGGCGUCAUGGUGAGCUCUCCGCUUGGCUCCUCCCAUCCCGGAUUAUAGACCAGAUUAUUCUUUCCCAUCCAUUGUGUUCUUGUUUAGAUUGGGACGGAAAAAAGGUAGUUAAGCUUCCAUCUCCCCGUGAAUCUGUAUAGGUACAGCUUAGGAUAUCUUAGUUUUGGAGAAAAAAGAUUCAAGGAGGUACCCGACCGGUUCAAAGAGAUUCGAAUCCAAGCAAUAAUAAUGAGAAGUAUUCCGCAUCCCGUUGCUCAUAUCUCUUCCCGUUGCUGGGUACUCCCCUCGUUGUUGGUGAGAAGUUGUACCUAGGGUUCUUAAAUUAGGGCAUUCGGGAGCUUAAUCCAUGGGUAAAACGAAAUAGGUGGCCACCAGCUGGUACAUGGGAUCCAUUUCCAUUGAGCCACUAAAAGAUGAAUUGUUACUUGCAGGAAUUUGAAGAGGUUGAGGCAACAAAGAGAACAGAGGAAUAAGGUAGUCAGCUUUUCUCUUCCUUUUCAUCUCUUGAUGCGGUGUCCUUUUCUUCCCAUCACGAUGGUGGGUAACCAGGUCUGCGCUGCUGGAGUUCUUCAGUAUAGCCCCAUCUCCAUCAACAUACAAGAGUAUGUGUCGAUUUGUUUUGAUUGAUAUCAUAUAGAAGCUUCUACAGACGAAUGAAUAUGGUACAGUUGUUGCAUUCAUUAUUUUGUGCAGCUACCUACUGUUUAAAUCCUCCAUUGACUUGGUUGAAACACUACAGUUCACAUCUAGAAACAGUUUAAAUUCUGCACAAAUUAUUGGGAAUUCCAUGUUCUGAACAGGACUUUUAAACUGAACAGAGAAGUCAUCACGUACUGAUUCUACUCAUCAAACAGUACCUCUUGAUGCAUGAUUUCAAGUGGGAAGUGAGAUAUGCAAGUUCCUUACAACGACAGUUUACUACUGCAUCGUACUAGAGAUAUGGUAGUACAGAUGUUUUCACCAUGUUUCAGUCCUAUAGGCUUGUGAACUUGAAGAUCAACAGCUUACAAUAUGGUGUAUUCCUUUCAAAAACUUUUUUUGCAUACAAUUUUCGGGAUGGCCUAACACAAGUACUUAAACAAACACAUAUGAGAUUGCCACCACAUGCCGAUGCACAAGCCAAUCGCUCUGCAUUUGGUGCAUUCCAUCUCACCAUGAACAUGAAGUUCGGUUUACAUCUCAGUCAGGAUCAGAGGAAGAAUAAAGCUACUUCUGUUUGUGGCAUUAGCAGAUGGACAUUGGUUUUUCACUUGACAAGGAAAAGACAACAUACAACAUGUUAUUUUUUGUGAGAACCACUGAGCUACAAUUUUCCCAAUUGUUACUAAAUAGUUUCAAAAUGUUAUAGAAAUGCUAGUUAGUAUACUGUUCUUCUAGUUAGUCUUUCUGAUGUUUUUGUUUUUUUCCUUGUUCAUAUGUUUCAGUUUAAGCUCAACACUAGAGUUGUUAUAAGUAUAUGGUCCUUUCAACAGUGGUUUGCUAGCUGGGACACAUUUGGCUAUUUGAAAUAUACUUCUUUCUGUUUGGCAUUUGCUUCUAAUUUUCUAUGUGCUCCUUUUGGUUAUGUAGAUAUCUUUUAGCAUACUUCUCCCUUCAUUUACUCAUUUUGCUAUACACCUUUUUUGCGUUACUUCUAAGAAAUUUCUUAAUUAUAUCCGAAGUCGGCUGUUUUUCUCACAAUCUUAACUGGAAUAAUCCUACAGAAAAUAUAAGAAAAUUAGCUUUCUAGUAGCAGCAACACUCUUGUACUAACUAUUAAAGCUGUUUUUUUCUUUAGAAAAUGGUACACUUAUCUGCUGGAAAUAAGAAUGUAAUAUGUAUCUGUGGCAUUGCUUUAUUUUUGCUUGAUCUACAUGUAUACCAUGAGGUGCCAGAUCAAGCAUUUUGACACACAGUUAAGGAUUUAAGGCCGAAAAGGCAGACUUAUUUAUAAGGCCAGGAGUAGGCAUUUGCUUAGCGUGCCACAUUGCCACAAUAUUUCUAGUGUUAGUUUUCUAACAAUUUGUGUAUGAAGGCAACCUACUAUUCUCUCUUCAUCUGACUACAUGGGUAACAUUAUUUUGAUUAUUCAGUUGGUUGGAUGCUUAAUUUAUUCAGGGAUAGAGAGGACUCCCUCCUAUCCAUAAUAAUUGUCGCUGAUUUAGUACAAAGUUGUACUAAAUCAACAGAAAUUAAUAUGGAUUGGGGGGGAUAGCAAAAUUCAGGUUUUGAUGAGAAGAAAAGUGAACCUAAAGGCUCUAAGUACUAUUAGUAGGACACCAGGUUGCUUCAAGCCCUUGGAUAAGAAUGUUUCAGUCGCUGGAGAGAAUGUUGAACAGAUGACAUGGAUGGAAGAUCUCUGGCCACCUGCAAAUAGCUGUUUGAAGAUCAAGAUCGGGAGUAUUGAGUUUUGUAAUAGUGAUUUCUGAAUUUUUCUGGAUGCUUGUUACUGAGUGCUAAGUGGCAGACAACAUUGUUAUUCCAUGGUUACCAAAAAAAUGCCUUCUGUACAGAAUAAUUAGUGGACCAUGUUUCUUACGAUAACCAAAGAUGCCUCGUACAGAAAAGUGUUAGGGCAUGUACAAUGGUUCUAUCCUAAGAGUGCCACGUAGGAUGAAUGAUGAGGUGGAGGAGAGAGAAAUCAUAAGAAAAGGCUUGUCUUCUCUUAUUUAAGAGAAGACAAGAGAUGGUCUUUUAGCACAAUUUGUCUCACCAUGUUUUUAGGAACAACUAAUUAUUGAAGAUAAGACUAAGAGAUGACCCAUUGUAGAUAUGUUUUUUUGUCAUCUCUAAUUUACAUGUAAAACUUAAGAUACGACUAUCUUAU